CCUACGGGUGGCAGCAGUGAGGAAUAUUGGUCAAUGGACGAGAGUCUGAACCAGCCAAGUAGCGUGAAGGAUGACUGCCCUAUGUAUUGUAAACUUCUUUUAUAUGGGAGUAAAAUGUUCCACGUGUGGGCUUUUGUAUGUCCCAUAUGAAUAAGGAUCGGCUAACUCCGUGCCAGCAGCCGCGGUAAUACGGAGGAUCCGAGCGUUAUCCGGAUUUAUUGGGUUUAAAGGGAGCGUAGGUGGAUUGUUAAGUCAGUUGUGAAAGUUUGCGGCGCAACCGUACAAUUGCAGUUGAAACUGGCAGUCUUGAGUACAGUAGAGGUGGGCGGAAUUCGUGGUGUAGCGGUGAAAUGCUUAGAUAUCACGAAGAACUCCGAUUGCGAAGGCAGCUCACUGGACUGCAACUGACACUGAGGCUCGAAAGUGUGGGUAUCAAACAGGAUUAGAUACCCUUGUAGUC
rnacentral:rRNA from 1 species